rnacentral:rRNA from 1 species
GCUGGCGGCGUGCUUAACACAUGCAAGUCGAACGGAGAAUUUAUUUCGGUAAAUCUUAGUGGCGAACGGGGUGAGUAACGCGUAGGCAACCUGCCCUUUGGAUGGGGACAACAUUCCGAAAAGGAGUGCUAAUACCGAAUGUGAUCCAUUUCUCGCAUGAGAGAUGGAUGAAAGAUGGCCUCUAUUUAUAAGCUAUCGCCAAAAGGAUGGGCCUGCGUCUGAUUAGUUAGUUGGUGGGGUAACGGCUCACCAAGACGAUGAUCAGUAGCCGGUCUGAGAGGAUGAACGGCCACAUUGGGACUGAGACACGGCCCAAACUCCUACGGGAGGCAGCAGUGGGGAAUCUUCCGCAAUGGACGAAAGUCUGACGGAGCAACGCCGCGUGAGUGAUGAAGGUUUUCGGACUGUAAAACUCUGUUGUCAGGGACGAAGGUGCGAUCUGCGAAUAGUUGAUCGUAUUGACGGUACCUGACGAGGAAGCCACGGCUAACUACGUG